UCUCCGUUGGUGAACCAGCGGAGGGAUCAUUAUAGAGUUUUCUAAACUCCCAACCCUAUGUGAACUUACCUACGUUGCCUCGGCGGGGCCUACCCGGUAUCCUCCUUUUUGGGAGGUCGUACCCUGUAGCCCGCCGGUGGAUUUUCAAACUCUUGUUAUUUUAAUGAUAUCUGAGCGUCUUAUUUUAAUAAGUCAAAACUUUCAACAACGGAUCUCUUGGUUCUGGCAUCGAUGAAGAACGCAGC
rnacentral:misc_RNA from 1 species